rnacentral:rRNA from 1 species
UACGUAGGUGGCAAGCGUUGUCCGGAAUUAUUGGGCGUAAAGCGCGCGCAGGCGGUCCUUUAAGUCUGAUGUGAAAUCCCGUGGCCUUAACCACGGGCGGUCAUUGGAAACUGGGGGACUUGAGUGCAGAAGAGAAGAGCGGAAUUCCACGUGGUAGCGGUGAAAUGCGUAGAGAUGUGGAGGAACACCAGUGGCGAAGGCGGC